rnacentral:rRNA from 1 species
UACGUAGGGGGCAAGCGUUGUCCGGAAUCAUUGGGCGUAAAGCGCGUGUAGGCGGUCCGGUAAGUCCGCUGUGAAAGUCGGGGGCUUAACCCUCGGAUGCCGGUGGAUACUGUCGGGCUUGAGUACGGAAGAGGCGAGUGGAAUUCCUGGUGUAGCGGUGAAAUGCGCAGAUAUCAGGAGGAACACCAAUGGCGAAGGCAGCUCGCUGGGACGGUACUGACGCUGAGAUGCGAAAGCGUGGGGAGCAAACAGG